rnacentral:rRNA from 1 species
GCAACCCCAGGUCAGGUGAGC